rnacentral:lncRNA from 1 species
AUGGUUUUUGAGUUUUUCAUGCACCAAAAUUUCCUUUACACAAAAUCCAACAUACUGAAAAAUUCCUUUUUCCUUUUAAUUCUUAAAGGUUUUUUUACGACCACAGGUAACUCGGUGUCUGCCAAGCCAGUCUCUGAGGCUUCUACCUUGAACACAUACAUCACCACCAUUACACUGGUUGCCCUUGCGGUUGUUAUGAUCAUCACUGGAGUUGUCAUUUACACGAAACACAAAAGGUCGAGUAGAACUUUAACCCGGGAGGAAUCGAGCUAUUAUGUGAACUUCAGAAGAGCGUUGUCGAUGUCACACAAGAGAGAAACGGUUUGCAAAAAAUCUGACCUUAAAGUGCCUGAAAAGAAAGACAUGGAUGAUCCCAUCUACAUUAACGUCCAGGUGAGUUUCAACGGUCUGACAAGCCC